rnacentral:rRNA from 1 species
UACGGAGGGUGCAAGCGUUAUCCGGAUUUACUGGGUUUAAAGGGUGCGUAGGUGGGUUUGUAAGUCAGUGGUGAAAUCUCCGAGCUUAACUCGGAAACUGCCAUUGAUACUAUAGAUCUUGAAUCAUCUGGAGGUGAGCGGAAUAUGUCAUGUAGCGGUGAAAUGCUUAGAUAUGACAUAGAACACCAAUUGCGAAGGCAGCUCACUACGGAUGUAUUGACACUGAGGCACGAAAGCGUGGGGAUCAAACAGG